GGUCAAAGUAAUAAGAGUCUAUGGUGAAUGCCUACGAGCUUUAAGGCUAAGAAGGUCGUGGUAAC
rnacentral:rRNA from 1 species